GACGAACGCUGGCGGCGUGCCUAAUACAUGCAAGUAGAACGCUGAAGAGAGGAGCUUGCUCUUCUUGGAUGAGUUGCGAACGGGUGAGUAACGCGUAGGUAACCUGCCUUGUAGCGGGGGAUAACUAUUGGAAACGAUAGCUAAUACCGCAUAACAAUGGAUGACCCAUGUCAUUUAUUUGAAAGGGGCAAAUGCUCCACUACAAGAUGGACCUGCGUUGUAUUAGCUAGUAGGUGAGGUAACGGCUCACCUAGGCGACGAUACAUAGCCGACCUGAGAGGGUGAUAGGCCACACUGGGACUGAGACACGGCCCAGACUCCUACGGGAGGCAGCAGUAGGGAAUCUUCGGCAAUAGGGGCAACCCUGACCGAGCAACGCCGCGUGAGUGAAGAAGGUUUUCGGAUCGUAAAGCUCUGUUGUAAGUCAAGAACGAGUGUGAGAGUGGAAAGUUCACACUGUGACGGUAGCUUACCAGAAAGGGACGGCUAACUACGUG
rnacentral:rRNA from 1 species